rnacentral:tRNA from 1 species
GCCAGGGGUGUAGCUCAGUGGUAGGGUGCUUGCCUACCAUGCACAAGGCCUUGGGUCUGAUUCCCAGCAUGGCA